AGGCCCGACACCGCAUGCGCAUCAGAGUCGGCGGGUUUGCCCUCUACGGCGAGGUCUGUCAGCUUGGACGCAAACAGACGGAAGCGAGCUCGUAGAUCUUCUUCUGCAGCUGCGAGCAAUGUGAAGUCUCGACGACGCUCCUCCUCUGCACCUCCAUCUCUGGUCCCCUGUCUCCCGUCGCGACAAGCAAUUCCUUCGGCAGCUUGGGCGG
rnacentral:misc_RNA from 1 species